rnacentral:rRNA from 1 species
GACGAACGCUGGCGGCGUGCUUAACACAUGCAAGUCGAACGGAAAGGCCCCCAUCUUGGUGGGGGUGCUCGAGUGGCGAACGGGUGAGUAACACGUGGGUGAUCUGCCCUGUACUUCGGGAUAAGCUUGGGAAACUGGGUCUAAUACCGGAUAGGACCAUGGUUUAGUGUCUCAUGGUGGAAAGAUUAUUGUUUUGGUGCAGGAUGAGCUCGCGGCCUAUCAGCUUGUUGGUGGGGUAAUGGCCUACCAAGGCGUCGACGGGUGGCCGGCCUGAGAGGGUGGACGGCCACAUUGGGACUGAGAUACGGCCCAGACUCCUACGGGAGGCAGCAGUGGGGAAGAUUGCACAAUGGGCGCAAGCCUGAUGCAGCGACGCCGCGUGGGGGAUGACGGCCUUCGGGUUGUAAACUCCUUUCGUUAGGGACGAAGCCGCACUUUUUUUGGGUGUGGUGACGGUACCUUUGUGAAGAAGCACCGGCUAACUACGUG